AAAAUGGCUCUCCUUAGAGCCAUUCAGGCAGUCAGCCCAAGGGUGU
rfam:Acanthisitta chloris contig12904, whole genome shotgun sequence.